GCUAAUGCUUGGUAAUCAGGAUCUACUCACCUGGUGUUGAACUUUCAGACACCAGUGUGCUACAGCAUCUUAUCAGUGUCUCCAUCUCUCUGCCAACCACCAACCAGGACACUCGCCACCAUUUGCACUAUUAUUGUCAAAUAAACUUCUUUAUCCUUA